CUCCAAUAUUUUAAUACUAAAAUAUUACAUUCCCUCCAAUUUCUGAUAAUCCAAAAUUUUUUCAUAAAACAUAAUAACAUCCCGUCACACAGCUAGGGUUCUCAAUCAUUUUCUCUCUUUUUGACUUCAUCAAAAUAGCUCCGCCUAAACUCGUUGGUCACUGCUCAUUUCUAACAACAAAAUCGUUGCUAUCUAGGGUUUUCAAUUUUUAUUUUUGUUCAAUCUUCAAAUGCUUUGUUUUAAGGUUUUUGUUUGUGCAAAAUUUAGGGAAAUAAACGGUUAUGGAAAGAAAUCCCCAUUUUUCAUUUCUUCCAACGAAAUCCUUGUGUUUGAUUCUUGUAUUUUUAGACAAACUAUAAGAGCAAAAUGUGAGGAUGCAAAUUCACCCAAAACACCAUGUUCCAAGGUGACGACGAAAAGGAAAACAGUGAAGAGGUAUUUUGGGUCUUUGGUUGCUAUAGGUUCUGCUACCAAGCCGAUGUCCAUUGAGAAGGGUCAAGGUAAUUCAGCUGAAGGGAAUUCCAAAUGAUAAAAGUAGAGGAUGUUCGCGUUUCGGCAAGCACAUCGUUUGCUUUAGUAAGGAAAGAAUGGUCUUCAGAAGUACGACUGCAAACCUACAAGAUGCUCCAGUUUACAUUAUGAUAUCUUUGCAUUUAGCUCUUAGCUUUUUAUCCUUAGUUGUCCACCAACUAGCUGAGAUUCUUUUUAGCUUACCUUUCUUCAUAGUGUUCGACCAAUAGCAUUGUUCACUAAUGGCUUCAUUCAGAACUUGACACAAUUUUACAAAGUUACACUUUCAAAUUUCUAUUGUUCAAGGAAAGGGAAAAAUACUGGUAAUUAUCUUUUGGCUUCAGUACAGAAGUGAAUAUCCACUAUGCCCUCUCCCCCACUUUGCACUCAUAAUGUCCUUUUCCAGAAGAUUUGAGCCAGCCUGCCCGUAGAAAGAUAAUAAGAUUAACUACUGGGGAAAAUAUAGUCUCCUGUCCUAAAUGGGCAUAAAGUACUUGACAACAGAACUCCAAAAUCUGUAAGAAAUGGCCGAGCUUCUUUGCUUCAAUAUUUUGUGGUUGACAUCUGCACUGAAGGCAUGAUACCUAUGUAAGGGAUUUGAAAGUUCAAGUCAAGAUUCCUUUACACUCUUCUUUUUGAAUUUCAUACAAGUCCAGAUAUAAAUGUUCCCAGUAUUACCUGAAUGGCUUAAACAUUGAGCUCCCAUCCAUUUCUUAAAUUGUAUUAAUUUUACAGCAUUAGGUGCGGUUGCGAUGGGAUGAACUGAACCCCGAUGAGCGAGGAACUUUUCUAGUGUAGUUGAUUUGAUGUCUGAAAUUACAAAUUCCAGUAAAGAAUGGGCUUUGAAAAGUCAGACGUCAGCUCUUGUUUCCAAGAAUAAUGUGUUGGAUUUGUGGUCGCUCUUUGACUUUCUUAUGCCGGGGUUUCUUGGAACUGAAAGACAGAUCAAUGCGGGGGAUCAAAUUUGAAUGCUGGGCGCCACGAUUUAAAUUGAUCUAGAUUGAAGUGAAUGAUGAUGAAUUUUUGAAAUAUUUUGAUAUACGUUUAUAUACAUUUGGUUUUGUGUGGAACUUGGUACGAAGUUUUAUUAUGUUGUUUUCUAAUCAGUAUGUAAAAGACAUGUUUUUUUGAAAUCAAAUCUAUGCACUUCAAUUAUUUAUUAGCUAA